UACGUAGGUGGCAAGCGUUAUCCGGAAUUAUUGGGCGUAAAGCGCGCGUAGGCGGUUUUUUAAGUCUGAUGUGAAAGCCCACGGCUCAACCGUGGAGGGUCAUUGGAAACUGAAAAACUUGAGUGCAGAAGAGGAAAGUGGAAUUCCAUGUGUAGCGGUGAAAUGCGCAGAGAUAUGGAGGAACACCAGUGGCGAAGGCGACUUUCUGGUCUGUAACUGACGCUGAUGUGCGAAAGCGUGGGGAUCAAACAGGAUUAGAUACCCUGGUAGUCCACGCCGUAAACGAUGAGUGCUAAGUGUUAGGGGGUUUCCGCCCCUUAGUGCUGCAGCUAACGCAUUAAGCACUCCGCCUGGGGAGUACGGCCGCAAGGCUUAAACUCAAAGGAAUUGACGGGGACCCGCACAAGCGGUGGAGCAUGUGGUUUAAUUCGAAGCAACGCGAAGAACCUUACCAAAUCUUGACAUCCUUUGACCGCUCUAGAGAUAGAGUCUUCCCCUUCGGGGGACAAAGUGACAGGUGGUGCAUGGUUGUCGUCAGCUCGUGUCGUGAGAUGUUGGGUUAAGUCCCGCAACGAGCGCAACCCUUAAGCUUAGCUGCCAUCAUUCAGUUGGGCACUCUAAGUUGACUGCCGGUGACAAACCGGAGGAAGGUGGGGAUGACGUCAAAUCAUCAUGCCCCUUAUGAUUUGGGCUACACACGUGCUACAAUGGCCGGUACAGUAGGUUGCGAGACCGUGAGGUGGAGCUAAUCCUUUAAAGCUGGUCGUAGUUCGGAUUGGGGUCUGCAACUCGACCCCAUGAAGUCGGAGUCGCUAGUAAUCGCAGAUCAGCAACGCUGCGGUGAAUACGUCCCGGCC
rnacentral:rRNA from 1 species